rnacentral:lncRNA from 10 species
UCUAGGGAAAAUUUCCAUCUAUUACUAGAUUCAUUACCAAAGGGAGUAAAAUGGAGAAAUGUUUGCAUGCCCGACCUAUAACAAGCUGAGGUGAUUUACUAUAGCCUAUUAGACAGGCUGUACCCUAUGGAGAAAGUGUUAUGUAAUUAUUGUCUCUGGAACCAAAUUUCCAGAAUUCAAAUCCACCCUUUGCAAUUUACAAGCAAAAGUUAAAUUCUCAGUAACAGCACCUACAUCUCAAAAGAUUAUUCUGCAAGGCAUGGUGGUGCAUGCCUGUAUUCCCAGCUACUUGGGAGGCUGAAGCAGGAGGCUACGGUGAGCUGAGAUCACGCCACUGCACUCCAGCCUGGGCAACAAGAGCGAAAUUCCAUCUCAAAAAACAAAAAAACAAACAAAAAAAAAAAACAAAAAAAACACAGCAGACACUUAAACUAUAAAAUAAGACAAGGGGCCAGGCGCGGUGGCUCAAGCCUGUAAUCUCAACACUUUGGGAGGCUGAGGUGACAUCUUAAGUGCUUAUCAACAAGGAAUUAUUUAAAUCAGCAGUUCUCAAAAUGUGGUCUGCAGACAGGCAGGAGGCCCUAAGAUCCAUUUUCAUAAUAAUGCUAAGAAGGCACUUUGCUUUUCAGUAUUCACAUUUGCACUAACGGUGCAAAAGCAACAGUAGUUAAAUCUGCUGGUGCCUUAGCAAGAACCAAGACAGUGACACAAAACUAUACGAGUAGUCACUGUACAUUUAUUACUACCAACUCUCACAGUACUAAUAAUGUGAGUUUCAUAUAAGAAUGCCUUUGGGCCAGGCAUGGUGGCUCACACCUGUAAUUCUAGCACUUUGGGAGGCUGAGGUGGGUGGAUCACCUGAGGUCAGGAGUUCAAGACCAGCUUGGCCAUCAUGGUGAAACCCUGUCUCUACUAAAAAUACAAAAAUUAGAUGGGCAUGGUGGCAGGUGCCUGCAAUCCCAGCUACUUGGGAGGCAGACGCAUGAGAAUGAACCCAGGAGGCGGAGGUUGCAGUGAGCCAAGAUCGCACCAUUGCACUCCAGCCUAGGCAACAAAGUGAAACUCCGUCUUGAGAACAAAAAAAAAGGAAUGACUUUGAUGAGGCAAUAAACAUUACCAGUUUCAUUAAAUUUCAUUCUAUUUCCAUAUUUUUC